rnacentral:lncRNA from 1 species
UCUCUUGGCAUCCCUUGCAUAGGUUUCAAUUAACACCUAAAAUUGUCAUAUUGUUAAUUUUCAAUCGUUAUUCAAGCUUAAUUAAUCAUAAAGACUUAAAUGAACUAAGACUUCAUUAAGAUGAAAUUUAAACCCGAUAAUUAUAAAAAUUAAGCAACAUACUACUUAAACUAAAUUAAAUUCCUAACACUAAUUAAAAUGCAAUUAGUACUAAAUUUAAAAACUCGUGGGUUGCCUCCUAUUAGUGCUUAUUUUAGAGUCAUCAGCUUGACUUCUUCAAUUCUGCUACUCGAGCUUGGUUGAGAUGUUUGGAAUAUGUCGUCGAUUGUAAAUUGUGUUGCAACGUCACCAUGCACUUUCUUCUCUUGAUCUACACCCUCUUCUGCCAGAUAAUGUUCUUCAAUUUUAUUCGAAAACCUGAUAGUAUUGAACACAUUAUUGUAAGUUCUCCAUUCCGCACAUCAAUCAAUGUUCGACCUGUAGCUAAGAACGGACGUCCCGAAAUGAGUGAAACCUCUUGAUCUUCCUCACUGUCAAGUAUCACAAAAUCGAUUAGAAACAUGAACCUGUCAACUUUCAUUAGCACAUCCUCGAUUUCUCCCUUGGGAUACAUGAUUGACCUAUCUGCCAGUUACAAUGUGAUGUUCAUCAGUUUGAUGUUCAUCAGUUUUAUUCCUUUUAGACCGAGCUUCACAUAUAUAGACAAUGGCAUGAGAUUGAUGCUUGCACUGAGGUCGCAUAAAGCUUUCUCUACGAAUUGUGUCCUUAUAGUGCACGAUAUUGUGAAACUUUCAGGAUCCUGCAGCUUCGUUGACAUUUUCUUUUGAAUAAUAGAACUCUGCAUUUCUUCGUUAGAGCUACCAUCUCACACUCGCCUAUCCUUUGCUUCUUUGAAAGACUUUCUUUCAUGACUCGGCAUUUGUUCUAAAGCUCCAACAAAAAGUAUGUUAAUAUGCAGUUUUUUAAAAACAUCCAAAAAUGGGUGAUCAAGCUUUUGACUUUUCACACAUUGUGAAUAUGGCACAUGAGGCUUCUUUAUGUUUUUGCUUGCCUCCAUUAUUGUUCAAAUCUAAUUAUUUUAAGUCAAUUUAAAAUACAAACAAACUCAUAAACAAUAUUCUUCUCACUUUUAAUAUUUAUAUGAAUAUCAAAUUUUAUACUAUAUUUUUAUUUUUAUAUUUUAAGAAUUUAUAUACAGUGCAAUAAAAAAAUUCAAUGAGGAAUUUAGGCCCCCAUUAUUCUGUUAAAUUGUUGAUGAUGUUAGUGUUAACUUGUCUUCAUUAAUGGUGUGCUGUACUAUUUUUAGAUGAGGACGGAAGCUUUCAUGAGAUACAGAUAUGCAUGGGGCCCCACUUAUAUUUAUCAGUGUCCUAUUAAAUAUCCUUCUCCCAAUUCAAUCCUAACCCCAUGCACUUGGACUUGUCAAUGACAAAGAUUAGACAGGUGUUUUAUCCCAUACAUGUUUGUCCACCAUAAAAACCAAACACUUCACAUUUCCAAUACUUCCAAUAAAGUUUAAUCGAGAUUCAUUUAGACACCAAAUAUAACACAAUGUUAAAUUGAG